rnacentral:rRNA from 1 species
GACGAACGCUGGCGGCGUGCCUAAUACAUGCAAGUCGAACGAGUGGCGGACGGGUGAGUAACACGUGGGAACCUACCCAUCAGAGGGGGAUAACUACUGGAAACGGUAGCUAAUACCGCAUACUAUUGGCUGAACUCAUAUGGAAUUAGCUAGAUGGUGAGGUAAUGGCUCACAAAGGCGACGAUCCCUAGCUGGUCUUAGAGGAUGAGCAGCCACACUGGGACUGAGACACGGCCCAGAAUCCUACGUGAGGCAGCAGUGGGGAAGAUUGCACAAUGGGCGAAAGCCUGAUGCAGCCAUGCCGCGUGUAUGAAGAAGGCUCUAGGGUUGUAAAGUACUGGCAGUCGGGAGGCGGUACCGACAGAAGAAGCACCGGCUAACUCCGUGCCAGCAGCCGCGGUAAUAC